AUGGGGUCUAUGGGGCACCAUGAAUUCUAUGGGGCGCUGUGGAUUCUAUGGGGCCCCAAUGGAUCUAUGGGGCAGCUAUGGGGCACCGUGGAUUCUAUGGGGUGCCAAUGGAUCUAUGGGGCUGCUACGGGGCACUGUGGGGUCUAUGGGGCCCCAAUGGAUCUAUGGGGCAGCUAUGGGGCACUGUGGGGUCUAUGGGACCCCAAUGGAUCUAUGGGGUCGCUAUGGGGCACUGUGGAUUCCAUGGGGCAGCUAUGGGGCACCGUGGAUUCUAUGGGGUGCUGUGGAUUCUAUGGGGCACUGUUGGGUCUAUGGGGCUGCUAUGGGACGCUGUGGUGUCUAUGGGGCUCCAAUGGAUCUAUGGGGCAGCUAUGGGGCACCAAUGGAUCUAUAGGGCCGCUAUGGGGCACCGUGGGGUCUAUGGGACCCCAAUGGAUCUAUGGGGUCGCUAUGGGGCACCGUGGAUUCUAUGGGGCCCCAAUGGAUCUAUGGGGCAGCUAUGGGGCACCAUGGGGUCUAUGGGGUGCCAAUGGAUCUAUGGGGCUGCUAUGGGGCACCGUGGGGUCUAUGGGACCCCAAUGGAUCUAUGGGGUCGCUAUGGGGCACUGUGGUGUCUAUGGGGCCCCAAUGGAUGUGUGGGGCUGCUAUGGGGCACCAUGGGGUCUAUGGGGCAGCACCCUUCAGUGCUUCCUUCCCUGUGCCCCACAGCUGCCCCCCAAGUUGUGGGGCAGCCCCAUGGCACUCCCCACAUCCACCCUCUGCGCCCUCCUGGCCAUCGCCGCCAUCGCCCCAUUGAUUCCAACCACUGACCCACAAGUGGACACCAGCGACCCACAAGUGGACCCUGCCCCACAAGUGACCACCGUGGACCCACAACUGACCAUGGACCCCCAACUGAGCACCCUGGACCCACAAGUGAGCUCCGUGGACCUACAACUGACCCCCAUUGCCCCCCAAGUGGCCACUACUGCCCCACAACUGACCCCCACUGCCCCACAAGUGGACCCCAGCCCCCCAAGUGCCCCCUCUGCCCCACAACUGACCCCCUCUGCCCCACAAGUUGGCCCUAUUGACCCCCAAGUGACCACCCUGGACUCCCAACUGACCUCCACUGCCCCACAAGUGGCCUCUAUUGACCCACAAGUGACCCCCACUGCCCCCCAUGUGGCCCCCAGCCCCCCAAGUGGCCCCUCUGCCCCACAAGUGACCACCCUGGACCCACAACCGACCCCCACUGCCCCACAACUGACCC
rnacentral:lncRNA from 1 species